GAUGAAGAACGCAGCGAAAUGCGAUAAGUAGUGUGAAUUGCAGAAUUCAGUGAAUCAUCGAAUCUUUGAACGCACAUUGCGCCCCUUGGUAUUCCAUGGGGCAUGCCUGUUCGAGCGUCAUUUGUACCUUCAAGCUUUGCUUGGUGUUGGGUGUUUGUCUCGCCUUUGCGUGUAGACUCGCCUUAAAAUAAUUGGCAGCCGGCGUAUUGAUUUCGGAGCGCAGUACAUCUCGCGCUUUGCACUCAUAACGACAGCGUCCAAAAGUACAUUUUACACUCUUGACCUCGGAUCAGGUAGGGAUACCCGCUGAACUUAAGCAUAUCAAUAAGAGGA
rnacentral:misc_RNA from 1 species